UGAGACGAAAAAACGUAAAUUUCCGCAUAAAAGCAAAAUCAAGAUGAUGACAUACGAAAACAGCAAGCCAUUGAUAAUUGCAGUAAAUUCGAUAUUUUUUAUUGUUAUUAUAUUGUUAGUUAUCUACCACUGCGCCAAUAAAGAUGAUAUACCUCAAAAUAACUAAGAAUUACUAUAUUGUCGGUGCCUUACAAUGUCAAUCACACAUCGCUGCUCACCAAUUAGAAGCGGCAUACUCAAUUUAUUGUUAAGGCAUAAAAGUGUGAUACAAAAAUAAUAAAUAAUAUGAGCCGAUGAACAUCGUU